rnacentral:lncRNA from 10 species
GGGGAGGGCGGCGAGCGGGGAUCAGCCGAAGUCGGGAGAGGGGCGCUUCCACGGGGCGGGAAACUGGCGCGCGACUCUGGGGGAAGUGCAGGAUGGGGGGACAGGGGCGCUCCCGCGGGGGUGGAUGGGGGACCAUAGCGGGGCUGGCGGGGCAGGGGCCGGCGCACGAGGCUGGAGGAGGGGAGCGCGCGCUUCUACCCGGGCUGGGUCGCCGAGUCCACAGCCUCGAAGCCAUGGGUUCUCCCCGGCCCUCUGAAGCCGCCACACCUGUGCCAGCCGGCCGCGUCCUCAGACCUUUCCCCGCGGAGUCUUCCCAGCACUUGGAGACGCAGCGCAGGGCCCCGAGGACGGCCUGGCCCGGAGAAAAGAUACCGAAGCUCCAACUUUCCCCAACCCCGCUCCCCUCCUCCUUCCACCCUCCCUUCCCGCCCCCAAAGCUCGGGGGUCCUAUCCCUCCUCCGGUCCGCGGAGUCUCCCGAACCCUGCGGGGACCCGGCGCUCGGCGGUGCCCUCCUGGGGCGCACGGGGCUGGGGCGGGAGCGAGGAGACCAGGUGGGGAGGGGACCCCAGAUCUCAGACGCCAGGGGAGACGGCGUUUCCCGCUGUUCAUUCAGGUUUGUGCCAAAAGGAGCCUCACAGAUGCAGUAUUGGGUUUGGUAGACUCAAAUCGUCUUGUUUUAAUGUAAAUGAAAGUAAGUUUAGGAUAAAUUCCAGUGCGGCGGGGGCAGGCAAGGCUACCCACAUUUUUUAAAAAGAAGCCAGCCCGUAUUUUUCUCCCUUUCCAAAUCCUCCGCCCCCCAGUCCUUCGACCCAGGCACGAGCGCCCAUCGCGGAGGCCACGAUGCCCGUUUUAUUCCCUCUCCACGGCAAGGAAAAGCAGCGAAAUCUGAGGUCUUCAGAGGUUAACCCUAUCUAGGAGCAGAAUGUGACGCAUUGUAAACAAAUAAAUAUUGAAAACUCGAUGUUAAACACUUUA